CGCCUUUUCUUUUUUUCUAGCAGGGCGCGACGCAGAUUGAGGAUUCCCAGGUAUGUUUUCUGUUAAGACCUUUGUGUAUGUCUAAUUGGCCUUUUCUUUUUUCUGGCAGGGCGCGACGCAGAUUGAGGAUUCCCAGGUAUGUUUUCUGUUAAGACCUUUGUGUAUGUCUAAUUGCGCCUUUUCUUUUUUUCUAGCAGGGCGCGACGCAGAUUGAGGAUUUCAGGUAUGUUUUCUGUUAAGACCUUUGUGUAUGUCUAAUGUUGCCUUUUCUUUUUUUCUGGCAGGGCGCGACGCAGAUUGAGGAUUUUCAGGUAUGUUAUCUGUUAAGACCUUGGUGUACGUCUAAUGUUGCCUUUUCUUUUUUUCUGGCAGGGCGCGACACAGAUUGGAGAUUCGCAGGUAUGUUUUCCGUUAAGGCCUUUGUGUAUGUCUAAUGUCGCCUUUUCCUUUUUUCUAGCAGGGC
rnacentral:lncRNA from 1 species